AUGAUGAUUUAGAUAAUUUUCUGUUUAUGGUUUUCAACUGAUUAACCAUGAAGAUAUUAUUCUAGGGCGGUCUGAAAUG